rnacentral:rRNA from 1 species
UACGUAGGGACCAAGCGUUGUUCGGAUUUACUGGGCGUAAAGGGCGCGUAGGCGGCGUGGUAAGUCACUUGUGAAAGUCAAAGGCUCAACCUUUGAAAGCCGAUGGAUACUGUGGAGCUAGAGUACGGAAGAGGCGAGUGGAAUUCCUGGUGUAGCGGUGGAAUGCGCAGAUAUCAGGAGGAACACCAAUAGCGAAGGCAGCUCGCUGGGGACGUUACUGACACUGAGGCGCGAAAGCGUGGGGAGCGAACAGG